UUUGUUGUAAAAUGCUAACAUGACUGUCAAUAUUAAAAAAUAUCAUUAAAAUGAUGAGGUUCCAAUUUCAACUUUAAAUAAUCACCUUCAUGAAAUCCAUUAUUUCAAUAUUAUCAAAACUAUAAAUCUAUGGAACAAUCUUUCUUGUCUAAUCCGAAAUCUGAGAAAAAUGCUAAUAUAUAUAAUAUAGCAUUGCCACUAUUAGGUAUUUUACUGUCUAUUAGUUUUUCUCUGAUUUAGGCUUAGACCAGUAAAGUUGUUAAAUUGUUAAAUUUAUGUAUUUUAAAUUUAUUUACGUAGUUUAGUUAAGACAAUGUAAAAUUUAAUUAGUGUAAAUUUGUUUAGACUUUCAAUAUUAUGUGUUGCUUCUCUUAAAUGAGAUAAAAACUCAAGGAUGCAAAAAACUUAAUAUAAAAUAGUGUGAAGAAGAAGUAGUAACUGAAAUUAACAGCAUAAUAAAAUUUGAUAAGUUUGACUCAGCACUUGACAAUGUUUCAUCUAGUAACUCUGUAGUAUCUCUGCAGUUGUAAAUUGCUAAAUACUGAUUUGACAGAUUUUUCUUUUUUUUUUAAUUUUCUUUACAAUAUAUAAUUUUUACUACUUAAUUAGGAAUUGUCAGAUUUCCAUUAUUUCUUUCUAUUAGAAACCAAGAGUUCAAAAUAUUAGUGGUAAGAACUGUCAAAAACUUGUGAUAGUUAUGAUGAAGAGAUUUGUGACAAAUUCGCUCAUGGCCAAAUCUAAUAUGGCAGCUGGAAAAGGCAAAGGAUCUUUUUAGCCUAACUAAGCUAUACAAUUUAAUAAAAGUUUGUGCAUCGACUUCUCACGAAUCAUACACAGAGUCGAUUGACGAUGCAAUAAUUGCGGAUUCGUGAAAACGGGCAACUUUUGCUUGUCUUAAAGUGCCUUAAAUCCAUCGUUAUAAUAAUACUUUGUUUGUAAAUUGUUUUGAAAAAUAAAUUUA
rnacentral:lncRNA from 1 species